rnacentral:rRNA from 1 species
CAGCAGCCGCGGUAAUACGAAGGGUGCAAGCGUUACUCGGAAUUACUGGGCGUAAAGCGUGCGUAGGUGGUGGUUUAAGUCCGUUGUGAAAGCCCUGGGCUCAACCUGGGAAUUGCAGUGGAUACUGGGUCACUAGAGUGUGGUAGAGGAUAGUGGAAUUUCCGGUGUAGCAGUGAAAUGCGUAGAGAUCUGGAGGAAUACCGAUGGCGAAGGCAGCCAUCUGGCCUAAUACUGACGCUGAGGUACGAAAGCAUGGGGAGCAAACAGGAUUAGAUACCCGUGUAGUCCCUGUCUCUUAUAC